CAGUAGCCGCGGGAAUACGAAGGGUGCAAGCGUUAAUCGGAAUUACUGGGCGUGAAGCGCGCGUAGGUGGUUCAUUAAGUUGGAUGUGAAAGCCCUGGGCUCAACCUGGGAACUGCAUCCAAAACUGGUGAGCUAGAGUACGGUAGAGGGUAGUGGAAUUUCCUGUGUAGCGGUGAAAUGCGUAGAUAUAGGAAGGAACACCAGUGGCGAAGGCGACUACCUGGACUGAUACUGACACUGAGGUGCGAAAGCGUGGGGAGCAAACAGGAUUAGAUACCCCAGUAGUCCCUGUCUAUUAUAC
rnacentral:rRNA from 1 species